rnacentral:rRNA from 1 species
UACGUAGGGGGCAAGCGUUAUCCGGAUUUACUGGGUGUAAAGGGAGCGUAGACGGUAUGGCAAGUCUGAAGUGAAAGCCCAGGGCUUAACCCUGGGACUGCUUUGGAAACUGUUAGACUAGAGUGCUGGAGAGGUAAGUGGAAUUCCUAGUGUAGCGGUGAAAUGCGUAGAUAUUAGGAGGAACACCAGUGGCGAAGGCGGCUUGCUGGACAGUAACUGACGUUGAGGCUCGAAAGCGUGGGGAGCAAACAGG